UCCAUUACUUUACUUGCACUUUAAGGUUUUAUUUGAAGAUUUUUCGAUUUUUGUAUCCAUUUUAGAUGUGCACCAGUUUAUUCUAUACUUGAAAACGCUAACAUUGAGUACUGCUUACUGAUUAAUUGACAGCAUCGGGAGUGAGGUCUGUGCGGGGCAUUAAAAGCCUGAUAAACUGAGCUGCUCGUCGGUAAUUCAACUAAAUAUUGGUUGUCGUCAGCCAGCGACAAGCUAAUAAAAUCAGAACGGCUGGUAUGAGAACGAAGAAUAUAUUAUUAUAGUAUGAAAAUGGUUUGUACGUCAAGAAACCGUCUGGACCCGAAAUGAAUUCUACGUCUCCGAAGUUGUGAA